UAGGGAAUCUUCGGCAAUGGACGAAAGUCUGACCGAGCAACGCCGCGUGAGUGAAGAAGGUUUUCGGAUCGUAAAACUCUGUUGUUAGAGAAGAACAAGGACGUUAUUAACUGAACGUCCCCUGACGGUAUCUAACCAGAAAGCCACGGCUAACUACGUGCCAGCAGCCGCGGUAAUACGUAGGUGGCAAGCGUUUUCCGGAUUUAUUGGGCGUAAAGCGAGCGCAGGCGGUUUCUUAAGUCUGAUGUGAAAGCCCCCGGCUGAACCGGGGAGGGUCAUUGGAAACUGGGAGACUUGAGUGCAGAAGAGGAGAGUGGAACUCCAUGUGUAGCGGUGAAAUGCGUAGAUAUAUGGAGGAACAGCAGUGGCGAAGGCGGCUCUCUGGUCUGUAACUGACGCUGAGGCUCGAGAGUGUGGGGAGCAAACAGG
rnacentral:rRNA from 1 species